GACGAAUGCUGGCUGCGUGCUUAACACAUGCAAGUCGAACGGUGAAAGGGAGCUUGCUCCCUGGAUCAGUGGCGAACGGGUGAGUAACACGUGGGCAACCUGCCCCUCACUCUGGGAUAACUCCGGGAAACCGGGGCUAAUACCGGAUACGACCUGGUGCGACAUCGCACCGGGUGGAAAGAACUUCGGUGAGGGAUGGGCCCGCGGCCUAUCAGCUUGUUGGUGGGGUAACGGCCCACCAAGGCGACGACGGGUAGCCGGCCUGAGAGGGCGACCGGCCACACUGGGAUUGAGACACGGCCCAGACUCCUACGGGAGGCAGCAGUGGGGAAUAUUGCGCAAUGGGCGAAAGCCUGACGCAGCGACGCAGCGUGAGGGACGAGGGCCUUCGGGUUGUAAACCUCUUUCAGCGGGGACGAAGCGAAAGUGACGGUACCCGCAGAAGAAGCACCGGCUAACUACGUGCCAGCCGCCGCCGUAAGAC
rnacentral:rRNA from 1 species